rnacentral:misc_RNA from 1 species
ACUGCUUCCGGUUCGCCGGGCUAUUUUUUACCAGUUUUCUGAUUUAUGAAAGAAAAACUUUCAACAACGGAUCUCUUGGUUCUCGCAUCGAUGAAGAACGCAGCAAAGCGCGAUAGGUAAUGCGAAUUGCAGACGUGAGUCAUUGAAUCUUUGAACGCACAUUGCGCCAGUUUACUGGCAUACUGCGUUGAGCGUCGGCCUUCCUCCCACAGGUGCUGCUGCUUCUAGCAGUGAAAGGCAUGGACACGCACCCGUUAGCAAACCGGUGUUGACCUACAAAUUCGACCUCAGCGUAGUAAGAUUACCCGCUGAACUUAAGCAUAUCAAUAAGCGGAGGAAAAGAAACCAACAGGGAUUGCCCUAGUAAUGGCGAAUGAACAGGCAAAAGCUCAGAUUUGAAACCCUCGGGAUUGUAAUCUGGAGACCUGGAUUUGGCACGCUGACCAAGUCUUCUGGAACGGAGCGCCAUGGAGGGUGACAGCCCCGUAGCAGCAGCCGCAGUAAAUCCGGGUCGACGAGUCGAGUUGUUUGGGAAUGCAGCUCUAAGUGGGUGGUAUGCUCCAUCUAAAGCUAAAUAUUGGCGAGAGACCGAUAGCGAACAAGUACUGUGAAGGAAAGAUGAAAAGAACUUUGAAAAGAGAGUGAAAAAGUACGUGAAAUUGUUGAAAUGGAAGGCAAUGAGGUGCGAUUGACCCGGACGUUUGCGGGCAGCACAAAAGCGCAGGCCGCCUCGGCAUUGCCUGCGUGCAUACUGCCUCGCGGACCACCGGUUCUAACAACGCCUUAUUGCACCCGUCUUGAAACACGGACCAAGGAGUCUAUUGCCUAUGCGAGUGUUUGGGUGGCAAACCCAUACGCGCAGUGAAAGCACACGGUUCGAACCUUACGGGGGCAGAACCGGCCGAACUCUCCAGGGAGUAUUGAGCAAGCAGAGGUGAUGGGACCCGAAAGA